rnacentral:rRNA from 1 species
CCUACGGGUGGCAGCAGUGAGGAAUAUUGGUCAAUGGGCGGGAGCCUGAACCAGCCAAGUCGCGUGAAGGAAGAAGGUACUUAGUAUUGUAAACUUCUUUUGUCGGGGAACAAAGGCGGAGACGCGUCUCCGGAUGAGUGUACCCGAAGAAAAAGCAUCGGCUAACUCCGUGCCAGCAGCCGCGGUAAUACGGAGGAUGCGAGCGUUAUCCGGAUUUAUUGGGUUUAAAGGGUGCGUAGGCGGAAGGUUAAGUCAGCGGUCAAAUGUCGGUGCUCAACACCGGCCUGCCGUUGAAACUGGUCUUCUUGAGUGAGCGAGAAGUAUGCGGAAUGCGUGGUGUAGCGGUGAAAUGCAUAGAUAUCACGCAGAACUCCGAUUGCGAAGGCAGCAUACCGGCGCUCAACUGACGCUGAGGCACGAAAGCGUGGGGAUCGAACAGGAUUAGAUACCCCGGUAGUC